rnacentral:rRNA from 1 species
GAUGAACGCUGGCGGCGUGCCUAAUACAUGCAAGUCGAGCGAACAGACGAGGAGCUUGCUCCUUUGACGUUAGCGGCGGACGGGUGAGUAACACGUAGGUAACCUACCUAUAAGACUGGGAUAACUUCGGGAAACCGGAGCUAAUACCGGAUAAUAUUUCGAACCGCAUGGUUCGAUAGUGAAAGAUGGCUUUGCUAUCACUUAUAGAUGGACCUGCGCCGUAUUAGCUAGUUGGUAAGGUAACGGCUUACCAAGGCAACGAUACGUAGCCGACCUGAGAGGGUGAUCGGCCACACUGGAACUGAGACACGGUCCAGACUCCUACGGGAGGCAGCAGUAGGGAAUCUUCCGCAAUGGGCGAAAGCCUGACGGAGCAACGCUGCGUGAGUGAUGAAGGCCUUCGGAUCGUAAAACUCUGUUAUUAGGGAAGAACAAACGUGUAAGUAACUGUGCACGUCUUGACGGUACCUAAUCAGAAAGCCACGGCUAACUACGUG